CUUGUCUGUUCCUUCUGAAUAAUGGUUAAGACUUUUUACUCAGUAAGUGAUCACAACCCCCAUUACAUGAAUUUAAGAACAGAUGCUAUUGGAAAAUACUGUGCUUCAAAUCUGGACAAACUGGACAUUAAUUAAUCAAUUCGAUAGACAUUUGAACAGAUACUGGUGUAUACAGGACACAGUGCUUAAUGACAAAAGACAGUUCCUGCUCAUAGAGUUUUCCAUUUGCAGAGAUACAUAAAUGAUGUCCAUCGAAUUUCAUAGCAUCACCACAGAGGCAAGUACAAGUUUCCUUUAGGAAAAGGCACAUGAUACUGGGCUAUAGAUUCAUGCCCCAGGAAGCAGAGUCUGAGAUGGAUAUUUAACUGCCGAAUAUUUAUAUGGAAUUCCCUCAGGGUAAACACCACAGGGAUAUAGAGGGUCAAGGAUUCCACAGAGGGAGAGUUUGAAUUUUGAAGCAGUCAGAACUCAGUACUCACCUGCUGUCUGAUGCCAGGGAGCUCUGCAGCCAAAGGCACCCUCCAGACUUGCCCACCUUUGGGGCAAAAGUGCAGGGCCUUAAUUUCCUUACCUCACAACAUACCAGGCAUUGAAUGAGAGCUGUCCUCUGUAGGGAGUGUGAUGCUGAGCAAAGGAGAUAUGGCUUUCUUGGGCUGAAGUCAAAUCCCAUGGAGGAACUCAACUGAGAGCUGUCAGUCACCAUCAAUGGGUGCCUCGGGCCUGAAAGGGGAUCUGGGCUGUGUACCAUGAGAUCCACACUUCACCCUGUAUCUGUCAGCUGCUCUCCAUACAGGUUUCCUGAUUCUGAGCCAGAUAAGUGUUUGGCACACCCCUGUCAUCUAAGUUGGAGGCUUAGAGAAGUAAGCAACCGAGGCGAGUUCCAGCUGGUCCUCACAGCUCACCUUCACAGGAUCCAGUUUAUCUUUGCUUUCUUCAUUUGCAUUCCGUCUUCUCUCCCCAAGUGAGUGCUCUGUGGAUAUUAGUCUCCAGCACCAGUUGCAGAAACAAAAGCCUUACACAGAAUGUAUAACCAACUUUCACAACUGAUUAAGGUCAGAUUGCUAAAAUCUUCCUUCCUUCCUUCCUUCCUUCCUUCCUUCCUUCCUUCCUUCCUUCCUUCCUUCCUUCCUUCCUUCCUUCCUUCCUUCCUCCUUCUUUUUCUUCCCCUUUCCUUUCUUCCUUCCAUCCUAUCUUCUAUUUACUAAAAGCUCUGAUGGUCUAACUGAAUCAUAACUGAUAAAGAAUUUGAACUGGAAGUGGUUAUAGAGGAAAGCUGGUAGCAAGAAGCUCUGAGAAAGAUAUAGGAGGAUAAACUAGGUGGGUAGAAAAUGUGCAUAUAUUUGUUUUCAAAGUGAAUGCUCACCAAAGAGCA
rnacentral:lncRNA from 1 species